UACGGAGGGUGCGAGCGUUGUCCGGAAUCAUUGGGCGUAAAGGGCGCGUAGGUGGCUUCUUAAGCGUGCGGUGAAAGCCUGGGGCUCAACCCCGGGUCGGCCGUGCGAACUGGGGAGCUGGAGCACUGUAGAGGCAGGCGGAAUUCCGGGUGUAGCGGUGGAAUGCGUAGAGAUCCGGAAGAACACCGGUGGCGAAGGCGGCCUGCUGGGCAGUUGCUGACACUGAGGCGCGACAGCGUGGGGAGCAAACAGG
rnacentral:rRNA from 1 species